rnacentral:rRNA from 1 species
GAUGAACGCUGGCGGCGUGCCUAAUACAUGCAAGUCGAGCGAACAGACGAGGAGCUUGCUCCUCUGACGUUAGCGGCGGACGGGUGAGUAACACGUGGAUAACCUACCUAUAAGACUGGGAUAACUUCGGGAAACCGGAGCUAAUACCGGAUAAUAUUUGAACCGCAUGGUUCAAUAGUGAAAGACGGUUUUGCUGUCACUUAUAGAUGGAUCCGCGCCGCAUUAGCUAGUUGGUAAGGUAACGGCUUACCAAGGCAACGAUGCGUAGCCGACCUGAGAGGGUGAUCGGCCACACUGGAACUGAGACACGGUCCAGACUCCUACGGGAGGCAGCAGUAGGGAAUCUUCCGCAAUGGGCGAAAGCCUGACGGAGCAACGCCGCGUGAGUGAUGAAGGUCUUCGGAUCGUAAAACUCUGUUAUUAGGGAAGAACAAAUGUGUAAGUAACUAUGCACGUCUUGACGGUACCUAAUCAGAAAGCCACGGCUAACUACGUG